AGUGAACGCUGGCGGUAGACCUAACACAUGCAAGUCGAACGGCAGCACAGUAAGAGCUUGCUCUUACGGGUGGCGAGUGGCGGACGGGUGAGGAAUACAUCGGAAUCUACUUUUUCGUGGGGGAUAACGUAGGGAAACUUACGCUAAUACCGCAUACGACCUACGGGUGAAAGCAGGGGAUCUUCGGACCUUGCGCGAUUGAAUGAGCCGAUCUCGGAUUAGCUAGUUGGCGGGGUAAAGGCCCACCAAGGCGACGAUCCGUAGCUGGUCUGAGAGGAUGAUCAGCCACACUGGAACUGAGACACGGUCCAGACUCCUACGGGAGGCAGCAGUGGGGAAUAUUGGACAAUGGGCGCAAGCCUGAUCCAGCCAUACCGCGUGGGUGAAGAAGGCCUUCGGGUUGUAAAGCCCUUUUGUUGGGAAAGAAAAGCAGCAGGUUAAUACCCCGCUGUUCUGACGGUACCCAAAGAAUAAGCACCGGCUAACUUCGUG
rnacentral:rRNA from 1 species